rnacentral:tRNA from 1 species
GGGGGCUUAGUUCAGCUGGGAGAGCGCCUGCUUUGCACGCAGGAGGUCAGCGGUUCGAUCCCGCUAGUCUCCACCA